rnacentral:lncRNA from 1 species
AUUUAAGUGUUUUAGUUUGAUUGGGCAUGAAGUUUAUGAAAUAAAAUGAGAUUUUUAAAUCUAGUGAUCUUAAAUUGGAAAACUUACUAAAUAUAGAAAUGGACACUCUUUGGGAAAGACUAAAAAGAAAACUAAGACACGUAAAUUGGGAUAGAGGGAAUAGUAUGUUUCGGUUUCUUUUUGUUAUAAGUUUUGAAAUGUUAGUAACAUUUUAAUAAAAAAAUACACAAUAAAAGCAAAUGAUCCAUAUUAGAUACAUACUAACUAAUUGGAAAACUUCCACGAGGUAAUGGUAAGAUCCGCGUAUAUUCUACCCUCCCCAGAUCCCACUUGUGUGAUUUCAUUGGGUAUGUUGUUGUUGUUGUAUUGGCUAGUUGGGAAUUAGGAUUUAUCUGUUAUUACAAUUACAAUAAAUCGGAUUAGAGGCAUUAAUCUCAAUUUGAUUUAUAAGAAAAAAUUAGUGUGUUAGAAAUGAAACUGCAUAGAGUGGAAUGGUUAGUGAGGAUUCAUAU